GGCACGAUGUGGGGGCAGCCUCAUUCGCUGCACGUGCCUCGUGCUC
rnacentral:tRNA from 1 species